CCAAUGGUAAGGCAGUCUGGUCUGAAAUGCUCUGGCCAGACCUCACACCUGCACCCACACGGCUGUAGGAUCUGAGCAUAAAAGAUACAACAAAGAUAGUUUGGGUUUGCAUCCCAACAGCUCUCCUCAGUGCGGAUGACCUUAAAGAAGAAGAAAAAGUCACGAGAAGUAAAACACAAGCAGAAACCCUCAGUUCAAACAUUUUACAUGAAUCACCAAAACUGCACAUUUUUAUACAAAUGCUGCAACGUAGCUCUUGUUGCUGUUGCAUCUCCGUAAACGCAAAAGGCAGAGCUUAACAAAAUGUAUUUGUGUUUUCUAUCUAAACAUUCCAAUGACCAGAAAAAGAAUGGGGGCAGGAAGAGGGGCACAAGGAAUUAGGGUAGGACAAUGUUAUUUAUAAAUGAAAUCUCUGUGGGAAUGACACCAACAACUUUUCUACCAGCAGCCUUGCAUUCUUGCCAUGUUUUCCUUAAACGCUUUGAGGGCUUGAUUAUUCUAUCUGAGAAGCUGCUGGUGCAACACGCAAACCUCUCUGAUGGCUCAGCAAAGCGCUAGCACGUAAAGGCCCCGGCGCCAGUCUGCUCUUUGCUUCUGCACAGGGCUGAUGGCAGAACUGGGUCUUCCCUUGCACCAAACCAAGCAAACCCACGUCUAGCAGCCAGGAACCUGAGCUCCCACAGCCUGUGUAAAGCUCUGCACUGCCUUCAGCACCUGCUGCCAAAGGAAAACAUCACUGAUGGGCUGAGGCUCCCUUUCCUGCAUCACUGGGGAUAGAUUGUUUGUACAUCAGAGAUUACUGCAAAGUCCAGACCAGACCAUUCUUGUCUGGGGAGAAAAUGAGAAAGUACAAAAGGUGACUGCAGGUUAUGUUUAUAGACGUUCUGUGCAGCCGCAAAGUGGUACAGAAACAAGAGAACGCAGAAGGGCACUGAAAAGUACCAGCUCCAGGCGGAUCUCCUAUGUCACUUACCUGCGAACAGUCUGCAGGGAGAGGGGAGCAGGGCUGCUGCCACUGCUGAGCUAGGAAAACAGAACAUGUGCCGAACACCUCCGAAAAUUAAAGCAGUACAUGAGUUCUGGAUUUGAAGUUCCUAGAUUUAAAGGAAUGCAUCUUCUCGUGAGCACUGCACAAAGUUAUACAAGUAACCGUAACUGAAGCAGUUCCUUUUCGGGCCCAAUACUGCAUCCAUAAUUAUGCUCCCAUGGCACAGAUUUAGAUGUAUAACUCACACACUGAUGUAACAACCGUUUGUGUAACACACUACGCUCUGUGUCAUUCACCAGGCUGAAACUGUUGAGAGGAAAUCCUGCCUGUUCAGAAGUGCCUUUACGCAGCCUUCCCUGCCCUUCCCUCUCAGCUGCACAUCUGACUGGGCACAUCUCUCCUUAUUUACCUCCCUGUGUAACUCAGCUUCACUCACACCAUUCACAAUUAGAUACACCAUGCUGUUAGCAGCAGCAUCGUGGCAGAAAAUGGGAGCUACCUGCUCCGUCCCGUGGCUCUGGAGUGCUGUACACUCUUCUUUCUCUCCACAGUACACAAACAGCAACGUGUGUGUGUUUGAUGGGGUAUUUGGUCUCUGUUUUUAAGCCUGCUACUUAUAGCCAAGCAGCUCUGAAUGUUUAUGCUGGCUCUCUCAGAUUAGUUCCUCUUACAUGAGGGUCAGUAGAUUCUCAUUGACUUCAAAACAAAGUUGGUUGGAGUUAAACUCUAUCUUUGAAACAAAUACUACUUGUGGGUUGUUUUUUUUUAGAAAAACAUUGUCUCGAUAUUCUUGCUAACACUUCAUCCACCUGUUGCGACUCUUGGCAUUGUUUGCAGUUGGGAUUACAAAAGACUGGAAAACACAAAGGAGGGGUUGGAAAAACCCUUGAGUUCCUGGUUUGGGAUUCAGCUGAAACGUGUUGCUGUACGCUGAUAACGUGUGGGCACUCGGUUACGGCACGACCCCCACUGCCACCGAGAUGAUGGCUGUACUUAGAGCAAAGAAACCUUUGCUCUUCCACAUUCAGGUCAUUCCAAGAAGAGACAAGUGACAGUCUCCUAUUACACUGAGAUAUCUACACUUCACAUUAUUCUCAAAUAUUUUUUAGGAUGAAAAAAAGAUUCUGUUAAUAAAAGUGCUGGUAACUUUCAAAACAGGUCCCACUACCUGUCUAUGAUCAGCGUUUCCCAUAUUACGCAUCCAUAAGGAGAGGUUUGCCCUUGCCAACAUGAGCUAGCAGUGAGCUAUCCGUGAUCAACAGGAUCUAUUUCUGGGCUGUAGGCCACACGCUGCCAAGCACCUGCUGCCCACCCAUUUGCACUGUGUUUGUCAACGCUUACUGGACUCUGCAGCUGUUCUAGGAGCUGGGAGACAGCUUCACCAGAAUUUACACCUCUGCACAUUGAUCAGGUUGUGUAGCCUGUGCUGUAUCACCUCGAGCGGACCCAACAAGUCAGAGCCUCCUCCUGACUGAGGUCACAUUGCUGGGCAGCCAGAGCUCGCUAGCCCAGGAGAGAUUUAUGGUUGGCUGGAGAUUUGGCGCUGAUAACCUUAUUUGUGGUGGUAGAUUGCUCCCAUGCCAGGAUUAGUGCAAGACGCGAGAAGGAACACUGUGUUCUGCUAUUUAUGUUUUCUGUCAGAGCUCCCUCAAAGACUAACAUUAUUAACCUCCCUGUCAGACAAAUGAUGCUCAGUUUUAGGUCAUUUAUGCCUACAUCUCUUACACCUUGGGAGUUCCUAGAAGAGCUUAAAGUCUGAUUGAAGGCUGCAGUAUGAAAGUAGCAAUGGGUAUUAGAUGUACUUAUUUCAAAACUCUUGUUACUGGAUUGUUCCUCUCAGGACCUCAAGAACCAGCAAAAUUCCAGGAGUUGCAUUGACCUAACUCAGUGCAGAGCAGUUCCCCAUACAGCCAAAGCUGGGUCAGCACCUACUCCACUCACAGCCAUCGUGGAAGCACCAUGUGACUAACAGCAUUAAAUAACAUCUACAGACCACAGUGGUCCUAACAACAAACAUGCACAGAGCAUGGGGAGCCGUGGCGGUCAGACAUGCAGAAAACAAGCCUAUUUACUAAGAACACCAUUUGUACAUAACUGCUUUUCAGUGCACAAGCAUGUUCCAAACAAAAAUAGUUUCCACUGUUUCCCUUUUCACGCACACGCAGAGCUUUCCAAGCCAUCCACCUUUGGCGAGGAUCUCAUGCCUGGCCCCUGCUAGAAGGUCAGCUUGUUUUGCAACGCAAACAGAACUCUUUCAGCUGUCAAAGCUGUGGGGCAGCAACUGAAUUUGCUCUUCGAUGUUUUCUGUUUCAUCUCUGCCAUCGUGUUUUUUCACCCUGAACUUCCUUAAGCGAGGCUUUUGCAGUCAAGACUAUUAUGGUCCUGAACAUUUGACAAUGGUACAAAAAGAACCAGAGUUCACACUGGUAUUUGCAUAAUUUGCAUGAGGAAGGCUGAAAUGCUUCAAGAACACACCAUGCGAAGUUCAGGAAGAUGACACUUCUCAUAUGAGAGUACCAUGACUGGAGUAAAGCUCUGCUGGAGCAAAAUUCCGCUGAAGUCAAUGCGAGACUGACAGACGGGCUGGGUUACCAUAUGUUUCCACUGACUGGGACACAUCCUGUGACCUCAACGGUGCCACGCAGAUGCCCCAUCACCUAUCUCCUGUGGGAUGCUCUGGGGACUACCUCGGGGUGUUCCUGAGGAAGUGACCAUCUGGUCAUGUCAACUGAGGAUGGUUUGGUCAGCAUUCUUUUCCAUUUCCACCUCUCCCCACUCUUGUGAGUAAAUCUCAGCUUUGGAUCAUUUAACACCAGGUCACGGAAGCUUCAGAAAUAGCAUAUCUAAGGAUGGAAGACUUUUAGACUUCGCAUGUACCAAAUUAAAGAGCUAAAGAAAAUUUAAAGCGAUUAAUAUUUUUAUUUCUUAAUUACAGCAGCAUCAUUUUAGAAGCAAUUUGACUGACUGAUAUUUAAUGGGAGUUAUUUCAGAGAUGUAAAUGCAAACCAUCAUAUCAAUUCCUGACAAGUCAAUAAUCCUUCAUAACCAACAGCACAGAAACCUAAUAAAGAAAGAAAGAAAUUAAAGAUGUGUGGUGGCUCUUCUAAAGUUAUUACAUUUGUGAUUCAGCUCUUAAAUUUGGGAUGGCGAUUUUCUUGUAAGAUCCAAGAGAGAUUCAAUAUGUGUAACUAAGAACAGGCUCUGUCUUUAUCAUCUUAAUAAACAAAAGAUGGGGAGAGACAGGAAAUCAAUAUAUUCAGUUGAGGAACAAUAUCAGGAACAAUGAACUGGGGAAAAAUAAUUAGAGGAAACAGAAGAUGAAGCGUGCUGGAGUAAUUUUAGACAGAAAAGGACAAAAACAUUCUUCUAACCUGGCAGGGAAAUUGCAGGGAGUAUGACCUGGGCAGCUAGAGAUUAUAAAUAGUAUGGAACAAUAGAGACUAAGA